rnacentral:tRNA from 1 species
GGGCUUGUAGCUCAGCGGUAGAGCGCUUGCCUAGCAUGCUUGAGGCACUGGGUUCAAUUCUCAGCACCA